rnacentral:rRNA from 1 species
GGCGAACGCUGGCGGCGUGCUUAACACAUGCAAGUCGAACGGAAAGGCCCUGCUUUUGUGGGGUGCUCGAGUGGCGAACGGGUGAGUAACACGUGAAUAACCUGCCCUUGACUUUGGGAUAACUUCAGGAAACUGGGGCUAAUACCGGAUAGGAGCUCCUGCUGCAUGGUGGGGGUUGGAAAGUUUCGGCGGUUGGGGAUGGACUCGCGGCUUAUCAGCUUGUUGGUGGGGUAGUGGCUUACCAAGGCUUUGACGGGUAGCCGGCCUGAGAGGGUGACCGGCCACAUUGGGACUGAGAUACGGCCCAGACUCCUACGGGAGGCAGCAGUGGGGAAUAUUGCACAAUGGGCGGAAGCCUGAUGCAGCAACGCCGCGUGCGGGAUGACGGCCUUCGGGUUGUAAACCGCUUUCGCCUGUGACGAAGCGUGAGUGACGGUAAUGGGUAAAGAAGCACCGGCUAACUACGUG